rnacentral:ribozyme from 1 species
GACCCGCUUCUUCUCCAUCCUCCUCCUUCAUCCUUUCUGUCCUCUUUCUCUUUUUGGUUGACCGGCGCUUCCUUUCAUCACUCCUCUUCUCUCCCACCCCACUACUUCCCUUCAUUCUUGCAGUGCCUGGAGUCUCGUCUGCC